rnacentral:rRNA from 1 species
AAUCGAACCCGGAGAUAGCUGGUUCUCCUCGAAAUAGCUUUAGGGCUAGCCUCAUGGAUCAUUGGUGGGGGUAGAGCACUGAAUGUGCGCGGGGGCCACAAAGCCUACCAAACGCUAUCAAACUUCGAAUACCAUACAAUGCAGACCAUGGGAGUCAGUCCGCGAGAGAUAAGUUCCGCGGGCAAAAGGGGAACACCCCAGAUCAACCGCUAAGGUCCCCAAGUUCACGUUAAGUGGAGAAGGAUGUGGAAUUGCACAGACAACCAGGAUGUUGGCUCAGAAGCAGCCACACAUUUAAAGAGUGCGUAAUAGCUCACUGGUCGAGUGAUUGUGCGCCGAAGAUGUCCGGGGCUAAACGUGACACCGAAGCGAUGGGUGCGUCUGAAGAAGAUGCGCGGUAGAGGAGCAAUGUGCAGAGGCAGAAGCCGUAUCGAGAGGCACGGUGGACACUGCACAAGAGAGAAUGCCGGUAUGAGUAGCGAGAGGCAUGCGAGAAACAUGCCCGUCGAAAGCCCAAGGUUUCCUGGGGAAGGUUCAUCCGCCCAGGGUAAGUCGGGGCCUAAGCCGAGGACGGAAGUCGUAGGCGAUGGACAGCAGGUGUAGAUUCCUGCACUACCGAUGGAAUGAAGCAGUGACACAGAAGGAUAACUCGAGCAGGGUGAUGGUCAACCCUGUGCAAGCAUCAAGGUUGGGUUGUAGUGAAGUACGCAACCCUAUAAGCUGAGGUGUGAUGCGGACCGAAAUUUCAGUAGGGAAGCGAGUGAGUUCACGCUGGCGAGAAAAGCUGCUAGUAUAUCCAAAGGUACCCGUACCGGAAACCGACGCAGGUGGGCGAGGAGAGAAUCCUGAGACGAACGGGAGAACCCUUGUUAAGGAACUCGGCAAAAUGACCCCGUAACUUCGGGAUAAGGGGUGCCUGCGAGAGCAGGCCGCAGAGAAUAGUCACAAGCGACUGUUUAGCAAAAACACAGGUAUCUGCGAAAGCGAGAGCUGACGUAUAGGUGCUGACACCUGCCCGGUGCUGGAAGGUUAAGGGAACAUGUUAGAGCAAUCGAAGCAUCGAACCGAAGCCCCAGUAAACGGCGGCCGUAACUAUAACGGUCCUAAGGUAGCGAAAUUCCUUGUCGGGUAAGUUCCGACCC